rnacentral:rRNA from 1 species
CCUACGGGGGGCAGCAGUGAGGAAUAUUGGUCAAUGGACGAGAGUCUGAACCAGCCAAGUAGCGUGAAGGAUGACUGCCCUAUGGGUUGUAAACUUCUUUUAUAUGGGAAUAAAAUGUUCCACGUGUGGGAUUUUGUCUGUACCAUAUUAAUAAGGAUCGGCUAACUCCGUGCCAGCAGCCGCGGUAAUACGGAGGAUCCGAGCGUUAUCCGGAUUUAUUGGGUUUAAAGGGAGAGUAGGUGGAUUGUUAAGUCAGUUGUGAAAGUUUGCGGCUCAACCGUAAAAUUGCAGUUGAAACUGGAAGACGUGAGUACAGUAGAGGUGAGUGGAAUGCGUGGUGUAGCGGUGAAA